UGGGGUGUGGCUCAGUGGUAGAGCAUUUGUCUAGCAUGCAUGAGGCCCUGGCUUCAACCCCCAGUACUGCAA
rnacentral:tRNA from 1 species